AUUGAACGCUGGCGGCAUGCCUUACACAUGCAAGUCGAACGGCAGCAUGGAGAGCUUGCUCUCUGAUGGCGAGUGGCGAACGGGUGAGUAAAGCAUCGGAACGUACCGUGUAGUGGGGGAUAACGUAGCAAAAGUUACGCUAAUACCGCAUACGCACUGAGGUGGAAAGCAGGGGAUCGUAAGACCUUGCGCUAUACGAGCGGCCGAUGUCAGAUUAGCUAGUUGGUAGGGUAAAGGCCUACCAAGGCGACGAUCUGUAGCGGGUCGGAGAGGUUGAUCCGCCACCCUGGGACGGGGAACGGGCCCAGACGCCUACGGGAGGCAGCAGUGGGGAAUUUUGGACAAUGGGGGCAACCCUGAUCCAGCCAUGCCGCGUGAGUGAAGAAGGCCUUCGGGUUGUAAAGCUCUUUCGGCCGGGAAGAAAUCGCACAGGCUAAUACCCUGUGUGGAUGACGGUACCGGCAUAAGAAGCACCGGCUAACUACGUGCCAGCCGCCGCAGUAA
rnacentral:rRNA from 1 species